AUCCAGCUGAUGAGCCCCAAAUAGGACGAAACGUGCGUCCUGGAU
rnacentral:hammerhead_ribozyme from 1 species